rnacentral:rRNA from 1 species
AUUGAACGCUGGCGGCAUGCUUUACACAUGCAAGUCGAACGGUAACAGGUCUUCGGAUGCUGACGAGUGGCGAACGGGUGAGUAAUGUAUCGGAACGUGCCCAGUAGUGGGGGAUAACUACUCGAAAGAGUGGCUAAUACCGCAUGAGAACUGAGGUUGAAAGCGGGGGACCUUCGGGCCUCGCGCUACUGGAGCGGCCGAUAUCAGAUUAGGUAGUUGGUGGGGUAAAGGCCUACCAAGCCGACGAUCUGUAGCUGGUCUGAGAGGACGACCAGCCACACUGGGACUGAGACACGGCCCAGACUCCUACGGGAGGCAGCAGUGGGGAAUUUUGGACAAUGGACGCAAGUCUGAUCCAGCAAUGCCGCGUGCAGGACGAAGGCCUUCGGGUUGUAAACUGCUUUUGUACAGAACGAAAAGGCUCUGGUUAAUACCUGGGGCUCAUGACGGUACUGUAAGAAUAAGCACCGGCUAACUACGUGCCAGCAGCCGCGGUAACG